UACAGAGGGUGCAAGCGUUAAUCGGAGUUACUGGGCGUAAAGGGCGCGUAGGCGGGCGAACAAGAUUGAUGUGAAAUUCCUGGGCUUAACCUGGGCACUGCAUCGAUGACUGUUGGUCUAGAGUAUUGUAGAGGGUAGUGGAAUUUCCGGUGUAGCGGUGAAAUGCGUAGAGAUCGGAAGGAACACCAGUGGCGAAGGCGGCUACCUGGACAAAUACUGACGCUGAGGCGCGAGAGCGUGGGGAGCAAACAGG
rnacentral:rRNA from 1 species